GGCGCGUUUGCAGCAGGCAGGCGUGCACAAAGCAAUGUUCACUGAAGUCUAAAAGCGUUCGGCCAAGGAAAACUGACAAGACAGACUAAUGAACCGUAGAGACGGGAAGAAAAUAGCCAGCAUUUGCUAGAUUUCAAACCCUCUCUGUCUUCCCCGGACCACCUAUCUCGGAUUUUAUUAUUAUUUUUGUGUACGGCUCCAGCCGUCCCUUUUCUAAGCCACCAGAAGCCGGCGAUUCACGGAUAACACUUCUAUUAUUGUAAAGGGUAAAUAAAAUAAAGACAAAAAUUAAAAGCGACAAGAACCAGGUCGAGUUUGCAGGCGACGCUUUUACAAGCUCAUCUCGCCAGGUCGAAUCCGGGAGCAAGCCUUAAUGAAGCAAUAAUAGCCGCAUUAUUCAAAAAUUUUCAUUUCGAUGGAAAUUUAUCUAAAAGGGACUUAAUCAUAUGCAAAUAAUAAAAGGAGGCGUAGUGACCCGGCGAGCGCUCUGCAUACAGAUCUCAACGCGCGGCACUGCGGGACCGUACCUGAUCGCCGGUGAUUUCAUCGCAAACCCUUUCCAAAGGGGGAUGAGGAGAGGAAAAGGGAUUAAAACAACAACAACGACGACAAAACCACCAAGAAAACAAAACGAUGCUCAGUGCUGAGAUACGCUGCAGGCACCCGAGCCGUACCUGCGCUGCCCGCACAAACGGGGCAGAUUUUAGCGCAUUUCCUACGGGGAGAAAAGGGACUGAGUGCCGAUGACGGGGAGGCAGCCCUCGCUCCGCUCGGGUGGCACCGCACCGCGGACGCAGCGCCGUUGCGGGGCCGCAGCGCUUUCUCCUCCCGGAGGUGCGCGGUCGUUGCCGGUGGCCAAAACCAGAAGCCGGCCCCGGCGCCCGGCUCUGCUUUGUCUCUGCGAAACGUUACGGGACAGCCCCGUGCCCUCGGCCUGACCCCCGGUGAUGGCUCUUCAGAUAGAAAUAAAUAAAGCGACAAACAAACAAGCGAAUAAAUAAAACAAACCCCAUCCCGACUGACUGCCUCCGACCCCGUUUGUCCUUCCCAUCCGCCCCCACUUCAUCCCCGCUAAAUAAAUCCUCCCCUUCACCCCCAAACCCCAGCGCCGGGGCUCGGAGCGCAGAGCGGAGCGGUGCCGUUCGGCACCCGGGGCUGCGGCUGAGUACAAAGAGCACAAUGAGAGCAGGGCCCGGGCGUGGGGAGCCGGGCGUGGGGCUGCAAUUGUAAUUAAACUGCGAAGAGAAAUGGACGCCGAGAUUGGUCUUGACACUAAUUACCAGCCAGAAAGACAUUUAUGCAAAUUUACCAGAAGCCUCAACUUCUGCGGGGCUGAAACGGAGGGGGAAGAAGGAGAGAGAGACAAAAAAUUACCUUCUCUAAUUCCAACAGAUGAAACCUUAAUACUUGUAUGGCUUGGAUCAUCUGCAAAGACACAAACAGCACGUUUAUCCCCCUCCGGGUGGGGCCACUCUUACCCCC